GCUGCUUCUUAUUGGCUGAAAGCAACGGGCCCAGGUGCUUCCAAACUAGGUCACCAGCUUGACUCCGCCCUCUGGAUAUACCUGCCACACAGGUGGAAUGAAAACAUAAGAAUGUGCUGCUUAUAAACAGGUAAACAUUGAGAUGAACCAGGCGACCAUCACUAGGUGUGAUUAGGUCUACUAGCAAAAUCCUCUCUGCUGUUCGGAUUUUGCAGUUUGCAGCAUUUUUUCCGAAACCAACAAUCUGACAAUCAUGUCUUCUUCACCAGCACCUGGACACGUGUGUGAAGAAACACGGGGAUGGGGAGAGGAGAGGAGACGCAGGUACUAAGCAGGAACACCAAAGAUCACUCCAGAUGCUGUUUUUCAUCCCCAACAAGAAUGUGGACGGAAGCAAAUGGCUUCGUCUGGAGGAGGAAAACAGGCACUCAGACAGAGGUGUUGAAGAAUGCAGGGACGUUGAACACUGGCACCAACUAUUCCGUCUUCAAGUCUCCUCUUUUGGCUGAUUUGUUUUCCCCGUAUUUAUCUGAUCUGAUCCCAUAAUCCAGGGAUUGUAGUCUAGUGUUGCAGCAGGGAUAUUGUCCUCAGCACAAAAGCAUGGAGGCACUUUGGAUAUUCUGCUUGUUUGCAUUCCCACUUUUACCAGUUUAAUGUUGUUACUCUGGAUUUCUGAGGGAAAUCUGCGGCGGCUGAUAAUCACUCCCUCACUCAUUUAUCAUGGUGAAACACAAGAGCAGCAUUUUGCUUGUUUGGAAAAGCUCUUCAACGAUUAAAGAUGCUGCCGGAGGAACAUACGAGCAAUUACCCGGCUACUCGACACAAUAACGGACUGAACAUAUAAAGUGGAUAUAAAGUUCAGCUGCACACACACCAUGCACAUACACACACUUUGUGAAGACUUGUAUCCCCUUGUGUAAUUCCCUUUUCUCAUCUGAGGAUGAAUCCAAACCCCCAUUGAGAAAAUAUCAUAAUAAUGACACCCAUAUACAUAACACAUGCGUGCUGAGCCCAUUAUAUUCCUGUUAUCUGCAUCCAUUUUAUAUUAACAUCAUUAAAUGUGUCUAAAUCGGGAAAUCAAGUAGCCAUGACAACAAACAUGUACAAAUCAUCAUUUAUCCACCCAAUGAGCGUUUAAGGGACAGUGUGACGUUUGGGACAUUUUAUCUUCACUCUUUAGCUGAGGUGUGUGUGUGUGUGUGUGUGUGUGUGUGUGUGUGUG